GCUUCCAUGGCUCAGUUGGUUAGAGCGCAGGUCUCAUACAGGUUAUGUAUGCCCUGAUCACUUGAUUGGGUAAUCCUGAGGUCGUGAGUUUGAUCCUCACUGGGAGCA